rnacentral:snRNA from 1 species
AUACCUUUCUCGGCCUUUUGGCUAAGAUCAAGUGUAGUAUCUGUUCUUAUCAGUUUAAUAUCUGAUACGUGGGUCAUCGACCCACAUGAUAUUAAAUUAAUUUUUUUAAGGGGAGGGCCAGUCACAGUAGCUGGCUACUGGGGUCCUCAUGCGUCGCCCAGGUGUUGCACUAUGGCCCGGGCCUGGCGCACCCCAC